UGCUGGAUUUCUCUCUCUUGUUUUUUUGGUUUUUUCUUCACGUCUUCACGAGCUCCGGGCGCUUCGGAAUUAUUUUGUCCUCCUUCGGGGUUGGUGUAUGAGCUACGCAUGAAGCGGAGUCUGCGGCUCUCUAUUUCUACUAGGCAUGUGCAGCGGUGCUGCAUUUGGGUGCAACUGCUCUUCCACGUUGAGGGAGGUGGUUGUUUUCCCUUGUAGAAGUGUUGGAACACGUCGCAGUCGCAGUGUUCCAAUCCUUCUUUUCCUGUUAUUUUGUUUUUUGAUCCCCGCGGGUCUCCAACGGUAGCGUCAGCAUCGCUCAUUCUUCAUCCACCGAAAAAAGUGGCGGGGUCGGAGUUGUGACGCAGGCUUCCUUCGAAGGCUCGUUCUUCCGGUGUUUUUUUUUUUCCUUCGUUCCGUGAGUUUUGAGCUCUGCCUUCGACGGAGCUGUUUUGUAUCUUUCUUGUGAUGGUGUCUGCAGCGGUUGCCUGCUCGAUCAAGGGGGCUGCCUGAGAGCGGAAUCGUGCUCGAUUGUGGUAGCUGGUGUUUUGCGGCUGACCUGGUGGCAGGCGACGGUGGUAAUUGUCACCAUCACAGCGCCCUCGCUGAUGUUAUCUUGUAACCCAGAAUUGGACACAAGUCAUUGGAAAGAAAGAUUUUGUCCUGGUGCACUAAAAACCAAUCACAACUCUUCUGCACAAGGGAAAUCCUCUCGAUUGCAGCCGACUCAAGAAGUUCUCCAACGUGGUCGGGCCCUGGUGGUCUCUGUUUUUUCUUCAGCUGGAAAUGCAAACCAAGUCAAUACAGUUCAUACUAUGGGCGAUAUAAUUUUUGCCGAACCGUCGUUGUUGUUCACGACCAAGUGCUCCCACUAGAACACACCUAGAAGAUGUAGGAACUGUUCUCGUAGGCUGCUAAUGAUACGUUGAGGUUCUUGUUUUUGUUGCUAUUUAUCAAUCUUGUUGUAGAUUGCUAGCUGUGCAUUGGAAGAGCGUGCUGGAACAGGUAAACAUCAAAGAGGGAAGGCACUUUCCCUCUCCACAAUCUUGUUGUUCGAUGAACCAUGCAACCAACUUGCGGCUAGUAUCAUUCGAACUGGAAGGAUUGUAAGAGUUCAUGCUACCGAGCAUGUGCGAUAGCAAGGCAAGAAAAGCAUCGACUACAAUUAGUCUCAUCAACUCCCCGCUUCAGGAAGAUGCUGCACUGAGGAGUGGGGCUGCUCGAAGGAAAAGGCAACACUAGAAUCAACCCCGGAUGAACAGCAGUGACCUUUGAGAGAAUACCAUGGCGACUCGGCUUUAAGACCACAAAUUGUUAAAGGCAGCACUCAGGGAGAACGGAAGUCGUCCCAAGCUUUAAUCGCUCUCAAUUCUCCAAAUGCUUGGAAUCCAAGAUCAAGUACAACUUCAAAGACUAGGCAAGAUUACCAAGUUUUUAGUGAAUAAAAAAUUAUUUUGUAUGAA